AUCAGAAUGAAUUAUUCUGCCAAAGAUUUUAAAUGUAAUGAUUUAUUAAUAUUAAUAUGUUAUGGUAUAUAAAUACAUAAAUAUAUAUUGCAUUAAUAAUUAUUGCAAUUUUGAGAGAUUCUCUUUUGGUGUAGAAAAAAUUUUUUAAAACUGUUUUAUGUAUAAGUUUACUUUUCUUAAUCCUGUAUUGGCUUGUGCUACUGAUGAGGACUGUAUAGCAGCUGAAAACAUUUCAGGAUUAAGUCUCUCUCAAUUUAUCUGUAUAAAUAGUGCUAUUUAUUAUGUUUUGAUUUUUCUAAAGGUAGUAAUAUAAAUAUUUAUGAAGUAGUAUAUUUAAUUCUGGAUUUGAUUCCAUAUUUUAUCAGGAAUGAUCCCAACUCAUUGAAUUAAAUCCUUUGACUGACUUUACACACAAAUGUGAAUGGUCUAUUCAUGGUUGGUACUGAUCUACUCCAUCGAUUUGAAAGAUCAUAAGUAUGCAGGUGGAGGAUUAAGUUAUUGUUAUGCCACUUCUGCACACAAAAUAUACUGUGUUUGGCAGCAAGCACUUUGAGUCCAUCAGUGUCUGGUCAACAUCCACGAUGGGUUUAAACAAAAAGAUGGAAUUCAGUGGACAAGGCCUGAAUCUCUCCAGAGAAUGUGUGGGGGAUCCAGACUUGAAUCCAUUUCUCCAAAGUAAUAAGCAAGUGCUGUAUCAUACGGCCAUCCAGCCAACACCAGUGAGAUGGGAAAGUAGCAUAAAUGAGAGAGAGACUAUAUCAAUGGUUUUUGAUGAUAAUUCAUUCCAAACAUUAUUUUCAUAGAAUAUUUUAUUGAAAUUAUUAAAUGAUAGCAAGUAUCAUCUUUUAUUGGGAAUUUUCUAAUUUUUAUGCUGUUUUCAAUUAGAGAUUAUUAAAUAACAGGACUAUUAGAGCCAAUUGUAGAUUGCCUAUACUAUGUUAGAGCAGCCAACAGAUAUUCAAGAUGAAAUGUGGAUGUAUAGAUCUAGAAUUGAAAUCAUAUCCUUUAAACUGUAAAAAACAAACAGUUUUAUUAUGUGAUGUGGUUACUUCUAUAUCAUGAUCAACAUAUUUCUUAUAGACUAAAAACUCUUAAGGUUGCAUUAUGAAAAUUAAUGCUAAUUAUUGAUGUAAUUUUUCUAUUGUUUAUUUAACUAGAUGGUAAAACAGAAUAUUUCCAAUGAAAAAUAAACAUUUUUGGGGUUUGGGAAUGUAUUAUAAUUUUUUCCAUUUAA
rnacentral:lncRNA from 1 species